rnacentral:lncRNA from 1 species
UUGGUCUGAUCAUAGUUCCCUUUACUUCCUGAAUACGUUUAGCGAAGAUUUGAUAGUAUAAAAUUAGUUUAAUAAUUUCCUAAAACCGGUAUGCAUAUACGGAAUGGUGCUCAUUUUUUUUUCUGUCAAAAAAUUUCAAGUAUUGUAGGAGCAUGACAAGGCCUGGCAAGGUGUCCAACACAAAGUUAAAGUGCGUGUAUUUAUUUUAGUUAAGAUGUUCAACGGCCUUCAAC